UACGGGGGGGGUAAGCGUUGUUCGGAAUUACUGGGCGUAAAGGGCUCGUAGGCGGCCAACUAAGUCAGACGUGAAAUCCCUCAGCUUAACUGGGGAACUGCGUCUGAUACUGGAUGGCUUGGAUUCGGGAGAGGAAUGCGGAAUUCCAGGUGUAGCGGUGAAAUGCGUAGAUAUCUGGAGGAACACCGGUGGCGAAAGCGGUCGACUGGUCGAGUACUGACACUGAGGCGCGACGGCGUGGGGAGCAAACCGG
rnacentral:rRNA from 1 species